rnacentral:rRNA from 1 species
AUGAUCGGCUCACUCCACUCUUCCUCGUCCUCCGACACCGACAACAACAACAGCAACGCCGACCUCAGGAACAGCAGCGGCGAGGGCGAGCGCGACGCUGCCUUGCUGGGCGGCGGCGGGCGUGCGCUCGCGGCGGCCCCGUCCACGCGGGACCUCGUGCUGGCCUGCGCCGACCUGCUGCAGCGCGGGGACCUCGCCGCCGCGCGCCGAGCUGCCGAGAUCCUCCUCUCCGCGGCGUCCCCGCGCGGCGACGCCACCGACCGCCUCGCGUACCACUUCGCGCGCGCGCUCGUGCUCCGCGUGGACUCCAAGGCCGGGCUGCCGUUCUCCCCGCGGCCACCUGCUGGGACAGCGCCGGCACCGUCCGGGGCGUACCUGGCGUUCAACCAGAUCGCGCCGUUCCUGCGGUUCGCCCACCUGACGGCCAACCAGGCCAUCCUCGAGGCAGUGGAGGGUUCGCGCCGCGUCCACAUCCUCGAUCUCGACGCGGCGCACGGCGUGCAGUGGCCGCCACUCCUCCAGGCGAUCGCCGAACGAGCCGACCCGGCGCUCGGCCCGCCCGAGGUCCGCAUCACCGGCGCUGGCGCCGACCGCGACACACUCCUUCGUACAGGCAACCGGCUACGCGCUUUCGCCCGCUCGAUCCACCUCCCUUUCCACUUCACCCCGCUCCUCCUCUCCUGCGCCGCCAGCACGCACCACGUCGCCGGCACGAGCACCACCCCAAGCACCGCUGUCUCGAGCCUGGAGCUACAUCCCGACGAGACGCUGGCCGUGAACUGCGUGCUGUUCUUGCACAAGCUCGGCGGGCAGGACGAGCUCGCAGCGUUCCUGAAGUGGGUGAAGGCCAUGGCCCCCGCCGUGGUGACCGUUGCCGAAAGGGAGGCGAGCGGAGGAGGGAUCGACCCCAUCGACGAGCUCCCGCGCCGUGUUGGCGUGGCCAUGGAUCACUAUUCGGCGGUGUUCGAGGCGCUUGAGGCGACGGUGCCGCCGGGGAGCCGGGAGAGGCUGGCGGUGGAGCAGGAGGUCCUCGGCAGGGAGAUCGAGGCCGCGGUGGGGGGCGCAGGCGGGAGGUGGUGGCGCGGGCUCGAGCGGUGGGCUACCGCCGCACGCGGCACUGGGUUCGCCGCGCGGCCGCUCAGCGCGUUCGCCGUUUCGCAGGCACGGCUACUGCUGCGGCUGCACUACCCGUCGGAGGGAUACCUGGUGCAGGAGUCCCGCGGCGCGUGCUUCCUCGGGUGGCAGACGCGGCCGCUGCUGUCAGUGUCGGCGUGGCAGUAG